rnacentral:rRNA from 1 species
UACGUAGGGAGCGAGCGUUGUCCGGAUUUAUUGGGCGUAAAGAGCUUGUAGGCGGUCUGUCGCGUCUGCUGUGAAAAUCCGGGGCUCAACCCCGGACUUGCAGUGGGUACGGGCAGACUAGAGUGUGGUAGGGGAGACUGGAAUUCCUGGUGUAGCGGUGAAAUGCGCAGAUAUCAGGAGGAACACCGAUGGCGAAGGCAGGUCUCUGGGCCUUACCUGACGCUCAGGCGCGAAAGCUAGGGGAGCGAACAGG